rfam:Sulfurimonas sp. RIFOXYB12_FTLL_35_9 rifoxyb3_full_scaffold_530, whole genome shotgun sequence.
UCUGAAUAAAGGCAAACUCACACGAAAGUUGAGGACGCAAAGCCACCGGUCUAAGCGGUUUAACCAUAACCUAUGACAGCGGAGCCGCCAGA